rnacentral:rRNA from 1 species
UACGUGGGGAGCAAGCGUUGUUCGGAUUUACUGGGCGUAAAGGGCGCGUAGGCGGCCACCGCAAGUCAAUUGUGAAAUCUCCGGGCUUAACUCGGAAAGGUCAACUGAUACUGCGGGGCUAGAGUGCGGAAGGGGCAACUGGAAUUCUCGGUGUAGCGGUGAAAUGCGUAGAUAUCGAGAGGAACACCUGCGGCGAAGGCGGGUUGCUGGGCCGACACUGACGCUGAGGCGCGAAAGCCAGGGGAGCGAACGGG